rnacentral:rRNA from 1 species
GACGAACGCUGGCGGCGUGCCUAAUACAUGCAAGUAGAACGCAGUUGCGAACGGGUGAGUCACGCGUAGGUAACUGCCUCAUAGCGGGGGAUAACUAUUGGAAACGAUAGCUAAUACCGCAUACUGUGAGAUGGACCUGCGUUGUAUUAGCUAGUUGAUGAGGGAAAGGCUCACCAGGGCGACGAUACAUAGCCGACCUGUGAAGGUGAACGGCCAAGCAGGGACUGAGACACGGCCCAGACUCCUACGGGAGGCAGCAGUAGGGAAGCUUCGGCAAUGGACGGAAGUCUGACCGAGCAAAGCCGCGUGAGUGAAGAAGGUUUUCGGAUCGUGAAGCUCUGUUGUUAGAGAAGCGGUAACUUUCGAGAAAGGAACGGCUAACUACGUGCCAGCAGCCGCGGUAAUUC